UGAGUAACCUGCCCCAAACUCUGGGGUAAGCACUGGAAACGGUGUCUAAUACCGGAUACGAGCUUCAGCCGCAUGGCUAGGAGUUGGAAAGAAUUUCGGUUUGGGAUGGACUCGCGGCCUAUCAGCUAGUUGGUGAGGUAAUGGCUCACCAAGACGACGACGGGUAGCCGGCCUGAGAGGGUGACCGGCCACACUGGGACUGAGACACGGCCCAGACUCCGUACGGGAGGCAG
rnacentral:rRNA from 1 species